rnacentral:rRNA from 1 species
GGGGAAUAUUGGGCAAUGGACGCAAGUCUGACCCAGCAACGCCGCGUGAAGGAAGAAGGCUUUCGGGUUGUAAACUUCUUUUAAGGGGGAAGAGUAGAAGACGGUACCCCUUGAAUAAGCCACGGCUAACUACGUGCCAGCAGCCGCGGUAAUACGUAGGUGGCAAGCGUUGUCCGGAUUUACUGGGUGUAAAGGGCGUGUAGCCGGGAAGGUAAGUCAGAUGUGAAAUCUGGGGGCUCAACCUCCAAACUGCAUUUGAAACUACUUUUCUUUAGUAUCAGGGAGGGAAUCGGAAUUUCUUGUUUGGCGGGGAAAUGCGGAGGUUUAAGGAAGAACAACAGGGGCGAAGGCGGAUUACUGGACGACAACUGACGGGGGGGCGCGAAAGCGUGGGGAGCAAACA